UACGUAGGGAGCAAGCGUUGUUCGGAAUCACUGGGCGUAAAGCGCACGUAGGCGGCUUUUUAAGUCAGGGGUGAAAUCCUGGAGCUCAACUCCAGAACUGCCUUUGAUACUGGGAAGCUUGAGUCCGGGAGAGGUGAGUGGAACUCCGAGUGUAGAGGUGAAAUUCGUAGAUAUUCGGAAGAACACCAGUGGCGAAGGCGGCUCACUGGCCCGGUACUGACGCUGAGGUGCGAAAGCGUGGGGAGCAAACAGG
rnacentral:rRNA from 1 species